rnacentral:rRNA from 1 species
AUUGAACGCUGGCGGCAUGCUUUACACAUGCAAGUCGAACGGCAGCGGGGGGCUUCGGCCCGCCGGCGAGUGGCGAACGGGUGAGUAAUGCAUCGGAACGUGCCCAGUCGUGGGGGAUAACACAUCGAAAGAUGUGCUAAUACCGCAUACGUCCUGAGGGAGAAAGCGGGGGAUCUUCGGACCUCGCGCGAUUGGAGCGGCCGAUGUCGGAUUAGCUAGUUGGUGGGGUAAAGGCCCACCAAGGCGACGAUCCGUAGCGGGUCUGAGAGGAUGAUCCGCCACACUGGGACUGAGACACGGCCCAGACUCCUACGGGAGGCAGCAGUGGGGAAUUUUGGACAAUGGGGGCAACCCUGAUCCAGCCAUGCCGCGUGAGUGAAGAAGG